UGCCAUAAAUAAAAGUGUGGUUCAUAAAAAAUAUUCCAUACUAUAAUUUUCCAUCCAUUAAUCCAUCACAAAUAAAUCAUGCUUCAUAAUUACGACAAAAUGAGUGUUUUUUCGACGCUGGGGCCUCGACGCUAGGUAAGGGGAGUUAGCAGAAGAAUUUAGUAUCCGCAUUUUUUCGACGCUUUUAGGUGACGAAAGCAAUUUUCGUCGCUGGAAGCGUCGAGAAGACAAGCACGUGAAUUAUUAGUACCUCACAACUAAGCCCACGUUUCAAUUUUAAGCGGAAAAUAAACCAAAAAAAAAAAAAAAUUUAGAAUACUCAGUUCUCAACCCUAACUUUUCUGCCCUCUUCGUGAGAUUUAUGGAAUCUUAAUCUAGAUCUUAAUUCUUCUUGCAAUUCCCCUAAUGCUUGAUAAAAUUUCUCUACUUGAUUUUGUCACUCUCUAUGCCGCUGUUGUUUCAAAGGAUGUAUAAGGGACUGUGAUUAAGAGGAUUUGAAGGAGUUUAUUCUCAACUUGAUGCUUUUGUGCUAAUUUGGUGCCUACUUGAUAUCUCUGUUGCUCUUGUGUUCCUGGCAUAGCAACCGUAUUGGCAGCCUCAUGGCAGGUGGCUGAGAAACGAAUAGGUUGGUGCUGCAGGAAUGUAUGUGUUGUUGCUUUUGUUAUUAAUUGUUGUUCUGUUUUGUUCUUUUUUUUAUGUUGCUGUUGUUAUUGUGUGGUGUUGCGUCUGUAUGCAUUGAGGUGUUUGCAAACGUGCUACUGCCUUCCCUUGUUGGCUGAGCUGCCUUAGCUAUCUUCAUGGAUGUGUAUCGUUUGUGUCCUAUCUCUUGUUUGUGUGUUUGUGGUUGUGAUUGUGUCCAUAUUGUGUUACUAGACUUGAAUCAAUAAAAGAAAUUAAACCUUUUUGUGAAUUUAUAAAUUAUCUAUACAGCUCUAGGAUUUUGCUUGGAUUACAAUUGUUGGUCAAUUUGGUUGCCUAGAUGAUGGCUUUUAAGCAACAUCUCCUCUAUUGGGUGUGGAUCUUAGAUGGUAGCUUUGAGUGGUGAUAUCUAUAUGCGUCUAUGAGAGUAUGAGGUCGUAGUUGCAAUAGCCAAAAGAAUUACUGCAUCUAGUGAAUUUGUUAGUUUUAAAAUCUUUAAGGUUGGGAUAUUUUCUUUGGUGACUUUCUAUACAUUUAUAACUUUUUCUGUGAGGACUCCAUAACAUUGUCUCUUUGUAUUUUAGAAAUAAUUAAAGAGUUCUCAAACACAUAAAAGAUAACUGACUAGAGAUAGUAAUGCAAUUCUCAAUGGCUUUUCGUCUUUUGCCAUUUAUCAUGACUUAAUGAAAGAUCUAUGUUUAAAUGAAAUAUCACCUUAUUUUAGGCAUUGUUUUAAUGAAAGAUCUUGUUUUUUCUGUAAUUCCAUAUAUAUACACAUUUUUUGUUUUUUGUUUUUUUUUGUGUUUUUUGGUUAUGUUACUCUAAACUCUUCAUUACUCCUCAAAUACCCAUGUCGGAUUCUCAAUAAUUGAGCUUGUAUAGACACUUAACAUUUCAUUUGGGACCUUUUUUUUUUAUUAUUAUUUUUUUUUUAUCAUUGACAGUCUAACACUUGGUCACAUGAGUGAUUGUAGUACUUAAGUUUACUCAUUUUGUGGAACAUAACUUGUAUGUCAUGCACUCAUGCUUUAAGUAAAUUAAUGGAGAGUUGGAGACACAUAUGUCUUAAUCCUUGUCAGUCAAGUUCAUGUUAGCUGUUUUUUUUUUUUUUUUUUGAAAGGAGUUCAUGUUAGCUUGAGAUCAUUUAUCAUCUUAAAUUGUGGACAUUUGGUUUUCACUAAUGAUUUACUACCAGGGACUUAUUUUAUGGUAUAGUAGAUUGGUGCAAAUAUGAGGAAUCCGGAGAACAUGGACAAAGGAAGGGCUGGAAUUAAAAAACUUCAUUGACAUGUUUGGUUCUGAUCUCAUUGUCUUCAUCAUCAUCGUCAUAAUUCAGUGAAUGCUAACUUGACGUGUACGUUCAUAUGUAGUGUCUGAUAAAGCCACCAAUUAAAGACAUAACAAGGCCAAUCGACCUAAAGCUGCACAUAUGUGUGAUAAUUGACCACCAGGUAAUUGAAAUCUGGUAAUUGAAUUUGCCGGUAAUUGAAAUCUGGUGAUUGAAUUUGCACAUAUGUGUGAUUAUUAAUCCUAUACAGCUCUAGGAUUUUGCUUGGACAACGAUAAGCUCACCUAUUUGUGGUCAAACCAGAUUUCUGAAAAAUUGACGUUGAUAGAGCAAUACAAACUGGAUAGAGAGAGGCAAUAGAAGUUAGAAGAGGAGGAAGAAAUAAGAAGAUUAAGAAAGGAACUCGUCCCGAAAGCUCAGCACAUGCCUUACUUUGACAGGCCUUUCGUCUCCUAUUCGUUGCCCCUGAUGUAGGGUGCAAAUUGCAAAGGUUAAUUAUCUUAUCAGUCAUGGUUAGCCAGUGGUGGAGGCUUGUCACAUUGAUGUUUCUGGUACAAGAUUUGUGAUACAUAGAAUGUAUUUGUACUUUCUUUUAUUAUUCUAGCUUAGAUAAAAAAAAAUGUCAGAAUAUCUUGGUUUUUGGCACUGUAUUGUACAUAUACCAAGUUGUACUCUUCAUUAAUUAUGAAUAAAAUUGAA